rnacentral:ribozyme from 1 species
GUCCUCAGAAAAUGACAACCAUGUGGGGCGUAAGUAAUUGUAUAGACAUUUAUAUUUAUUAAAUACGAUAUAUAAAUAUAUUUGAAUAUUCGUAUUUAUGCAAUUAUAAUCGUGCGGACGUUAAAAUCAUGG